rnacentral:ncRNA from 1 species
CAUCAGGAGAUGGCAUUCCUCCGUUAACCGCCUUCCAGGCUGAUGAUGCCUACACAU